rnacentral:piRNA from 1 species
UUAAAAUGAGACAGCACAAGGGUGUAAAAG